rnacentral:lncRNA from 1 species
GGGCGGCUCAGCAUAGGAUGGGCACGCCAUCGGCCGUCACCAGGCGCCCGGUGGUGGGGUCGUAGGUGCCCGCCAGGUAGUAGAGGUCCUGCCGGUCCUGGCACUUGCGGCUCCGGGCCAUCUGCUCGUACUGCUCGCGCGCCACAACCACCUGGAGGCGCCUCCCGCCCACCUGGCCACUUGCCUGUGGGACCCUUGAGCCUUUCGCCCUAGGGACCUACAUGCCCCUGCCUGUAGUCAGGAGGUUUUGCCCAGGGGAGCUGGUGCCCUCUGACGUACUCUGUGACCCCCAGCAGCAAUGCUCUGGGUCCCUUCCUGCUGGGCCCUCUUGCCCCAGCCCCCGCUUUGGGUGCAACUUACCCCGGACCACGUUGCCCGGGUACAGACAUCGAGACUUCUGACUCCAGUAGGCGCAGACCCGCGUGCCGGGCGGGAGGUACCGGCUGGACUGUGGC